CCUACGGGGGGCUGCAGUGGGGAAUUUUGCGCAAUGGACGAAAGUCUGACGCAGCGACACCGCGUGUGGGAUGAAGUAUUUCGGUAUGUAAACCACUGUGGCGAGGGAUGACCAAAGACAGUACCUCGCUAGAAAGCAUCUGCUAACUACGUGCCAGAAGCCUCGGCAAUGCGUGGGAUGCAAGCGUUAUCCGGAUUUAUUGGGCGUAAAGGGUUUCGCAGGCGGACUGUUAAGUCUAGUCUUAAAUACUGGGGCUCAACCCCAGAUACAGGAUUGGAUACUAGCAGUCUAGAGGAUAUCAGGGGGAACUGGAAUGCUCGGUGGAGGGGUGAAAUCCGUUGAGAUCGAGCAGAACGCCAAUGGCGAAAGCAGGUUCCUGGGGUAUUCCUGACGCUCAGGUACGAAAGCUAGGGGAGCAAACGGGAUUAGAUACCCCUGUAGUC
rnacentral:rRNA from 1 species